GAUGAACGCUGGCGGCGUGCCUAAUACAUGCAAGUCGAGCGAACAGACGAGGAGCUUGCUCCUCUGACGUUAGCGGCGGACGGGUGAGUAACACGUGGAUAACCUACCUAUAAGACUGGGAUAACUUCGGGAAACCGGAGCUAAUACCGGAUAAUAUAUUGAACCGCAUGGUUCAAUAGUGAAAGACGGUUUUGCUGUCACUUAUAGGUGGAUCCGCGCCGCAUUAGCUAGUUGGUAAGGUAACGGCUUACCAAGGCAACGAUGCGUAGCCGACCUGAGAGGGUGAUCGGCCACACUGGAACUGAGACACGGUCCAGACUCCUACGGGAGGCAGCAGUAGGGAAUCUUCCGCAAUGGGCGAAAGCCUGACGGAGCAAUGCCGCGUGAGUGAUGAAGGUCUUCGGAUCGUAAAACUCUGUUAUUAGGGAAGAACAAAUGUGUAAGUAACUAUGCACGUCUUGACGGUACCUAAUCAGAAAGCCACGGCUAACUACGUG
rnacentral:rRNA from 1 species